CUGUCCUUGAGGUUGAGGCUUCCUGGGGCUGGUGUCCCAAGUGCAUGGAUCCAAACGUUCUCUCUUGCUGCAUCCAAUGUUCUGCCACAGAAUCCAACAACAGCAUUGACACACAGUAAGUUAUGGAUAUAGCACCAAGACUAUAUCGAGGCCCUGGAUCUUUCACAAAGACUAUCUUAACUCUUUGUCACUAUUGUCAUAAAGACCUACAAGAGUGGAUUCUGAAUGCGAUAUUUAUUACAGGUUGCAGAUGGGGAUGAAAGGCAGCGGCUUGCCUAAUUAAAAGCUCAGGAUAAAUUCUGAAAAGAAUAAAAUGGAGUCCUGUUCACAACCAUCCCUUAAUGAACCCACACGUCUCAUUUCCUAUCAUCUCACACAGGAAGGAAUGCCAGAGCUUGCCAACUGUAAUUUUCAUGUGCUUGUAUUAAAAAUAGCAAAUAAAUA